rnacentral:rRNA from 1 species
GACGAAGGGGGCUAGCGUUGCUCGGAAUUAUUGGGCGUAAAGCGCACGUAGGCGGCAUUGCAAGUCGGACGUGAAAUCCCUCGGCUUAACCAAGGAAGUGCAUCCGAAACUGCAGUGCUUGAGUACGAAAGAGGAUCGCGGAAUUCCCAGUGUAGCGGUGAAAUGCGUAGAUAUUGGGAGGAACACCAGUGGCGAAGGCGGCUCACUGGACCGGAACUGACGCUGAGGCGCGAAAGCGUGGGGAGCAAACGGG